GCCCAGCUAGCUCAGUUGGUCAAGCUUAAGACUCUUAAUUUCAGGGUCGUGGGUUCGAGCCCCACGUUGGGUG